rnacentral:rRNA from 1 species
GACAGAGGGUGCAAACGUUGUUCGGAAUUACUGGGCGUAAAGCGCGUGUAGGCCGCUCCGAAAGUCGGGUGUGAAAGCCCUGGGCUCAACCCAGGAAGUGCACUCGAAACUGCCAGGCUAGAGUAUCGGAGAGGUUGGUGGAAUUCUCGGUGUAGAGGUGAAAUUCGUAGAUAUCGAGAGGAACACCGGUGGCGAAGGCGGCCAACUGGACGAUUACUGACGCUGAGACUCGAAAGCGUGGGGAGCAAACAGG